CAGUCGAGCGAGUCUGCCUUGAAGAUCGGAGUGCUUGCACUCUGUGAAACAAGAUACAGGCUAGCGGCGGACGGGUGAGUAACACGUGGGUAACCUGCCCAAGAGAUCGGGAUAACACCUGGAAACAGAUGCUAAUACCGGAUAACAACAGAUGAUGCCUAUCAACUGUUUAAAAGAUGGUUCUGCUAUCACUCUUGGAUGGACCUGCGGUGCAUUAGCUAGUUGGUAGGGUAACGGCCUACCAAGGCGAUGAUGCAUAGCCGAGUUGAGAGACUGAUCGGCCACAUUGGGACUGAGACACGGCCCAAACUCCUACGGGAGGCAGCAGUAGGGAAUCUUCCACAAUGGACGCAAGUCUGAUGGAGCAACGCCGCGUGAGUGAAGAAGGGUUUCGGCUCGUAAAGCUCUGUUGUUGGUGAAGAAGGACAGGGGUAGUAACUGACCUUUGUUUGACGGUAAUCAAUUAGAAAGUCACGGCUAACUACGUGCCAGCAGCCGCGGUAAUACGUAGGUGGCAAGCGUUGUCCGGAUUUAUUGGGCGUAAAGCGAGUGCAGGCGGCUCGAUAAGUCUGAUGUGAAAGCCUUCGGCUCAACCGGAGAAUUGCAUCAGAAACUGUCGAGCUUGAGUACAGAAGAGGAGAGUGGAACUCCAUGUGUAGCGGUGAAAUGCGUAGAUAUAUGGAAGAACACCGGUGGCGAAGGCGGCUCUCUGGUCUGUUACUGACGCUGAGGCUCGAAAGCAUGGGUAGCGAACAGGA
rnacentral:rRNA from 1 species